rnacentral:rRNA from 1 species
AAUCAGUUAUAGUUUGUUUGAUGGUAUCUACUACUCGGAUAACCGUAGUAAUUCAAGAGAUAAUAUGUGCAACAAACCCCGACUUCUGGAAGGGAUAUUUAUUAGAUAAAGGGUCGAUGCGGGCUCUGCUCGUUGCUGCGAUGAUUCAUGAUAACUCGAUGGAUCGCACAGCCAUCGUGCCGGCAAUGCAUCAUUCAAAUUUCUGCCCAAUCAACUUUCGAUGGUAGGAUAGUAGCCUACCAUGGUGGUGACGGGUGACGGAGAAUUAGGGUUCGAUUCCGGAGAGGGAGCUUGAGAAAUGGAUACCACAUCUAAGGAAGGCAGCAGGCGCACAAAUUACCCAAUCCUGACACGGGGAGGUAGUGACAAUAAAUAACAAUACCGGGCUCUAUGAGUCGGGUAAUUGGAAUGAGUACAAUCUAAAUUCCUUAACGAGGAUCCAUUGGAGGGUAAGUUUGGUGCCAGCAGCCGCAGUAAUUCAAGCUCCAAUAGCGUAUAUUUAAGUUGUUGCAGUUAAAAGGCUCGUAGUUGGACUUUGGGAUGGGCCGGCCGGUCCGCCUUAGGUGUGCACCGGUCGUCUCGUCCCUUCUGCCGGUGAUGCGCUCCUGGACUUAAUUGGUCGGGUCGUGCCUCCGGUGCUAUUGCUUUGAAGAAAUUAGAGUGCUCAAAGCAAGCCUAUGCUCUGUAUACAUUGGCAUGGGAUAACAUUAUAGGAUUUCAGUCCUAUUAAAUUGGCCUUCGGGAUCAGAGUAAUUAUUAACAGGGACAGUCGGGGGCAUUCGUAUUUAAUAGUAAGAGGUGAAAUUCUUAGAUUUAUGAAAAGCGGACAAGUGCAAAAGAGUUUGCCAAGGAUAUUUUCAUAAAUCAAGGACGAAAGUUGGGGGAUCGAAGACGAUCAGAUACCGUCCUAGUCACAACCAUAAACAAUGCCGACCAGGGAUCGACCGAUGUUGCUUUUAGGACUCCGCCAGCACCUUAUGAGAAAUCAAAGUUUUUGGGUUCCGGGGGGAGUAUGGUCACAAGGCUGAAACUUAAAGGAAUUGACAGAAGGGCACCACCAGGAGUGGAGCCUGCGACUUAAUUUGACUUAACACGGGGAAACUUACCAGCUUCAAACAUAGUAAGGAUUGACAGACUGAGAGCUCUUUCUUGAUUCUAUGGGUGGUGGUGCAUGGCCGUUCUUAGUUGGUGAAGUGAUUUUUCUUGUUAAUUCCGUUAACGAACAAGACCUCAGCCUGCUAACUAGCUAUGCGGAGGUAUCCCUUCGCGGUCGGCGUCUUAGAGGGACUACGGCCUUUUAGGCCGCGGAAGUUUGAGGCCAUAACAGGUCUAUGAUGCCCUUAGAUGUUCUGGGACACACGCGCGCUACACUGUUGUAUUCACCGAUUUUAUAGGCUUGGCCGAUAUGCCCUUGUAAUCUUUGAAAUUUCAUCGUGAUGGGGAUAGAUCAUUGCAUUUGUUGGUCUUCAACGAGGAACUCCUAGUAAGCGCGAGUCAUCAGCUCGCAUUGACUAUGUCCUUACCCUUUGUACACACCGCUCGUUGAUCCUACCGAUUGAAUGAUCUAGUGAAACAUUCGGAUCGCAGUGGUUCCCCUAGUAAAACAUUCGGAUCGCGGUGGUUCCCCUAGUAAAACAUUCGGAUCGCGGUGGUUCCCCUAGAAGUCGUUGCUCCUACCGAUUGAAU